rnacentral:rRNA from 1 species
AUUGAACGCUGGCGGCAUGCCUUACACAUGCCAGUCGAACGGUAACGGGCCUUCGGGUGCCGACGAGUGGCGAACGGGUGAGUAAUACAUCGGAACGUGCCCGAUCGUGGGGGAUAACGAGGCGAAAGCUUUGCUAAUACCGCAUACGAUCUACGGAUGAAAGCAGGGGACCGCAAGGCCUUGCGCGGACGGAGCGGCCGAUGGCAGAUUAGGUAGUUGGUGGGAUAAAAGCUUACCAAGCCGACGAUCUGUAGCUGGUCUGAGAGGAUGAUCAGCCACACUGGGACUGAGACACGGCCCAGACUCCUACGGGAGGCAGCAGUGGGGAAUUUUGGACAAUGGGCGCAAGCCUGAUCCAGCCAUGCCGCGUGCAGGAUGAAGGCCUUCGGGUUGUAAACUGCUUCUGUACGGAACGAAAAGCCUUCUUUUAAUACAGGAGGGUCAUGACGGUACCGUAAGAAUAAGCACCGGCUAACUACGUGC